rnacentral:rRNA from 1 species
GAUGAACGCUAGCGGCAGGCUUAAUACAUGCAAGUCGUGGGGCAGCAGAGCUGUAGCAAUACAGUUGCUGGCGACCGGCAAACGGGUGCGUAACACGUACGCAACCUUCCCGUUACUGUGGCAUAGCCCAGGGAAACUUGGAUUAAUACCACAUAUUAUAUUGGAGAGGCAUCUCUUUGAUAUCAAAGCUUCGGCGGUAACGGAUGGGCGUGCGGUUGAUUAGGUAGUUGGCGGGGUAACGGCCCACCAAGCCUACGAUCAAUAGCUGAUGUGAGAGCAUGAUCAGCCACACGGGCACUGAGAAACGGGCCCGACUCCUACGGGAGGCAGCAGUAAGGAAUAUUGGGCAAUGGACGCAAGUCUGACCCAGCCAUGCCGCGUGAAGGAUUAAGGUCCUCUGGAUUGUAAACUUCUUUUCUCUGGGGCGAAAACCAGCUAAUCUUAGCUAUUUGACAGUACCAGAGGAAUAAGCACCGGCUAACUCCGUGCCAGCCGCCGCGGUAAUAC